rnacentral:rRNA from 1 species
UACGGAAGGGGCAAGCGUUGUUCGGAAUCAUUGGGCGUAAAGGGCGCGUAGGUGGUCGCGUAUGUCGGCUGUGAAAGCCGCCGGCUCAACCGGCGGAGGGCGGCGGAAACUGCGCGACUAGAGGCUGGGAGGGGCUGGUGGAAUUCCCCGUGUAGCGGUGAAAUGCGCAGAUAUCAGGAGGAACACCGGUGGCGAAGGCGGCAUCCUGGACCGAGAUUGACGCUGAGGCGCGAAAGCCAGGGGAGCAAACGGG